GGAGCAGGCAUAGCUUCAAUGAAUAAGACACAGAAGCAGGAACCGCUCUCCUCCGUGAAAUAUAUCAGUGGAAUCAUAGCACACACAGGUACACACACAUGAGCACACACAAAGUGCACAAACACACACAUGCAUGCACAUGCGCACACACACACACACACACGCAAACAGAGGCACAUGUACAUUUCACUUUUCAGAAUUUGAUUAUGAUGUGUGCUUAAGAAGAAAUCAUGUUCUAAAUUCCUUUGCCUUCCUUCCUGUUGUAGGGAAACAACCCCAGGAAAAGGCACCCUAUGGCCAACCUUCAUCAACAAAAGAAAGAGAGCAAAGUUCAGAAGCCAACCCCUUGUCACCACUGUGGACAGGAACGUGGACCAGCCACCCUGUUUCCAGCCUGGGGGCGAGGCAUACAGUGGAAAGGACACGUAAGUGGGGCACCUUCCUUGGGGAAGAUUUCCAAAUCUCUGUAAAUGGAACUCUCUUU
rnacentral:lncRNA from 1 species